rnacentral:rRNA from 1 species
UACGUAUGGGGCUAGCGUUGUCCGGAAUCAUUGGGCGUAAAGAGCGCGUAGGCGGCUAGAUAAGUCCGGUGUGAAAGUCACAGGCUCAACCUGUGAAUGCCGCUGGAAACUGUCUGGCUAGAGUCCGGAAGGGGCGAGUGGAAUUCCUGGUGUAGCGGUGAAAUGCGCAGAUAUCAGGAGGAACACCGGUGGCGAAGGCGGAUCUCUGGGCCAUUACUGACGCUGAGGAGCGAAAGCGUGGGGAGCGAACAGG